AUACAGAGGGUGCAAGCGUUAAUCGGAAUUACUGGGCGUAAAGAGUUCGUAGGUUGUUGGUUAAGUUUCAUGUGAAAGCCCCGGGCUCAACCUGGGAAUUGCAUGGGAUACUGGCUAACUAGAGUGCAGUAGAGGUAAGGGGAAUUUCCGGUGUAGCGGUGAAAUGCAUAGAUAUCGGAAGGAACACCAGUUGCGAAGGCGCCUUACUGGCCUGACACUGACACUGAGGAACGAAAGCGUGGGUAGCAAACAGGAUUAGAAACCCGUGUAGUCC
rnacentral:rRNA from 1 species